CAGCAGUAGAUGUGCAUUAAAUAAAUGUAUUUAAUGAAAAAUGAAGGUACCUCCUCUUUUCUCUCUAUAGAAAGAAGGAAACAGGAAAGAGAAAGGGAAAUGGAAGAAGAGGGAAACAACACUAUUGUGUAUGCCACCAUCGAUAAAGCAGCAACAAGGACAACAACGCAGUUGCAGGAAAGGGAAGCAGAUGUGUGCUAUGCUACUGUGAAAGCUAAAUUACCGAAGAAACAGACUACUGUAGUUGAGCUGAAUCUAAAGUCAGAGUACGCUACUGUGAAGAUGCACUGAGAGACAACAAAGCUGAGGAAAUAUCAGAGAAAGGAUUUCUGAUUUCAAUAAAGACUUAUGAUAGACCUUGAUUGACUGGAGCAAUUUCUAUAUGUAUUAAUAAUUUACUGAUGAAUAUCUAAGCCUUUGAUUGUUUUUAUGAUAUGGACAAAAUUAAUAGGUUUCUUCUUUUUGGAAAUUAUUUAAAAUUGUAUUAAGAACGCUUUUGCUAUUACUUUUAAAUUGAUUUCAGCAUUUGCUCGUAUUUGUUUAUAUUUGCUGCCUUAUUUAGUUUUAAUUACAGUACUUUCUAAUCUUUAAUUUAAAAAAUGU
rnacentral:lncRNA from 1 species